GAUGAACGCUGGCUACAGGCUUAACACAUGCAAGUCGAGGGGAAACGACGGGGAAGCUUGCUUCCCCGGGCGUCGACCGGCGCACGGGUGAGUAACGCGUAUCCAACCUGCCUCUGACUGAGGGAUAACCCGUCGAAAGUCGGCCUAAUACCUCAUGGCAUCGUCUGCGGGCAUCCAACGACGAUUAAAGAUUUCAUCGGUCAGGGAUGGGGAUGCGUCUGAUUAGCUUGUUGGCGGGGUAACGGCCCACCAAGGCUACGAUCAGUAGGGGUUCUGAGAGGAAGGUCCCCCACAUUGGAACUGAGACACGGUCCAAACUCCUACGGGAGGCAGCAGUGAGGAAUAUUGGUCAAUGGGCGAGAGCCUGAACCAGCCAAGUAGCGUGCAGGAAGACGGCCCUAUGGGUUGUAAACUGCUUUUAUGCGGGGAUAAAGUGAGGGACGUGUCCUUCAUUGCAGGUACCGCAUGAAUAAGGACCGGCUAAUUCCGUGCCAGCAGCCGCGGUAAUACGGAAGGUCCUGGCGUUAUCCGGAUUUAUUGGGUUUAAAGGGAGCGUAGGCCGUGGAUUAAGCGUGUUGUGAAAUGCAGGUGCUCAACGUCUGCACUGCAGCGCGAACUGGUCCACUUGAGUGUGCGCAACGCAGGCGGAAUUCGUCGUGUAGCGGUGAAAUGCUUAGAUAUGACGAAGAACUCCGACUGCGAAGGCAGCUUGCGGGAGCACAACUGACGCUGAAGCUCGAAAGUGCGGGUAUCGAACAGG
rnacentral:rRNA from 1 species